UCUUCAAUGCGCGCAAGCGUGACGAGGUUAUCCCGAGUGUCGCCUGCUGAAGGCGACUUUUYYUCUGUGUCUACAAAGCCGGGGGAAUAAGGGGAGGGCAAGACCUGGUGUCAGCCGCCGCGGUAAUACCACGCUCCCCGAGUGGUGAGGACGAUUAUUGGGCCUAAAGCGUCCGUAGCCGGCUUAGCAAGUUUYCCSUUAAAUCCGACGAUCCAAUCGYCGGGCUGCSGGAAAUACUGUCAAGCUAGGAGGCGGGAGAGGCCGGCAGUACUUUCGGGGUAGGGGUGAAAUCCUAUAAUCCCGGAAGGACUACCAGUGGCGAAGGCNGCCGGCCAGAACGCGCUCGAUCGGUGAGGGAMGAAAGACUGGGGGAGCGAACCGGAUUAGAUACCCGGGUAGUUCCCCAGCYGUAAAACGAAUGCSGGCUAAGUKUCGGGAUGGCCAUASAGCCCGUCUCGGUGCUGCAGGGAAGCUGUUAAGCCCCCCCCCUGGGRAGUACGGCCCCAAGGUUGAAACUUAA
rnacentral:rRNA from 1 species